CAGGCGAGCCCUGGCAGAAAGGGGAGUCAAUGAGAGGGAGGAGGCGCCUCUCUGGGAAUAAAUGCAACAUUUCCAAGAAGGAAAGCAGGAGCGCCAAGGUUGGGGUGGCUGUAGGGAGUUCAGGAAGUCUCCUUUCCCGGGCUUUUCUCUCCACCCAUCUGCUUCACUCCUUCACCUGUCCAGGUACAGAUUUGGGGCCACUCGCUUAACCUCUCUGUGCUUCAGUUUUCUCAUCUGAAGCAGGGACGAGGAAAGGGUUGUUGUGAGGGGAAAAUGACUCACUCUAUGUAAAGCAUCCAGCACAGCACAGAGGAGUGCUUAGCAUGUGUUAGCUGCUGCUGCUUCUCUGCGUGGCCUUUCCGUCUCUUCCGUCUACAAGGUGAAAAUACACCUGCUGACCCCAUCAGGGGUUUUCCCAAAACUUCCUUCAGAAAAACAAUCCAGGCUGUGGCUGAAUACCCCCUUGGUAACCUCGAGUUGCUGAAGCGUCCUUGGCCAGCCUGGGCAGGGAGGCCUUUGGCCAUAUGGCAGCCUGUUUCCUGUCCAAGGCUCUCUUUUCCAAACUCCUUCUUCAGCUGGAGAGGCCUCCAAUACUACCAAGGACACCCAGGCUUCAGAAUGACUUAUCUCCCCAUGCUGGGCCAACCCUGGCACCCUUCAAGAGAAAGAGAAGAGAAAGCAGAAAUCCCCUCAACUGUCAAAGAUAUUCUGCAUAGCAGCCUGAAGUGCCCAGGCACCCUCAAAAAGGUGUUUUGCAAAGUUUUCUGAUUACAAAUGUUAAUUGGUCUCUGUUCCUCACAAUACACAGAAAAGAAAAGUAGUCUAAGAAAUUACACUGCCUCCGUCUCACUGGAGUGUGCUUUCCUUAGCCAUUACGUUCAGUUUGGUUUCUUCGGGUUUGUUUAAUGUUUCCUCUCUGUGACCCACACGUGGCUGAGUUAUCCAUCUGCAACAUUAGAGAACUGAGCUAAGGCUGGAUUACUAUUAGAAAGAAAUAGUUUUCCACCGGAGCUGUGAAGGUCUCCAGGACCAGUUGGGCUCCCUUUGUGGGUCUCUGGAAGUUGUCCUGGCCUAUGAAUUCCUUAUCAGCCCCUGUAUCUCUCUAUAGCUGACGGCUAUGGCUACGUGGGUCUU
rnacentral:lncRNA from 1 species